rnacentral:piRNA from 1 species
UAGAUCAAUACCUGGCAUCUCGAUCU